AACGAACGCUGGCGGUAUGCUUAACACAUGCAAGUCGAACGAACGAAAUUGGGGCUUGCUCCAAUUUUAGUGAGUGGCAAACGGGUGAGUAACACGUGGGAAUCUACCUAUCAGUACGGAAUAACAUUUGGAAACAGAUGCUAAUACCGUAUAUUCUCCAAGGAGGAAAGAUUUAUCGCUGAUAGAUGAGCCCGCGUAAGAUUAGGUAGUUGGUAGGGUAAUGGCCUACCAAGCCGACGAUCUUUAGCUGGUCUGAGAGGAUGAUCAGCCACACUGGGACUGAGACACGGCCCAGACUCCUACGGGAGGCAGCAGUGGGGAAUAUUGGACAAUGGGCGAAAGCCUGAUCCAGCAAUAUCGCGUGAAUGAUGAAGGCCUUAGGGUUGUAAAGUUCUUUUAGUUGGAAAGAUAAUGACGGUACCAACAGAAAAAGCCCCGGCUAACUCCGUGCCAGCAGCCGCAGUAA
rnacentral:rRNA from 1 species